rnacentral:rRNA from 1 species
AGGCCUACGGGAGGCAGCAGUAGGGAAUCUUCGGCAAUGGGGGCAACCCUGACCGAGCAACGCCGCGUGAGUGAAGAAGGUUUUCGGAUCGUAAAGCUCUGUUGUAAGAGAAGAACGUGUGUGAGAGUGGAAAGUUCACACAGUGACGGUAACUUACCAGAAAGGGACGGCUAACUACGUGCCAGCAGCCGCGGUAAUACGUAGGUCUCGAGCGUUAUCCGGAUUUAUUGGGCGUAAAGCGAGCGCAGGCGGGUGGAUAUGUCUGAAGUUAAAGGCCGUGGGUU